ACAGGCUCAAUUGUGGAAGGAAUUUCGACGCAAACAUAGCUUACAAAAAACUCUAUUUAGCAAGGACAAACAUCUUUUCAGCUUACCUACUCCAGCUGAAAAAGUGGUUCAUAAAGUUUUGAUCAAAGAAACAAAGUCGAAAGAGCAAUCACGACAAACUGUGGCUAUCAUUGGACAAAAUGUUAUACGAAAUUGCGACAUUUGGAAACUAAAUGA